rnacentral:rRNA from 1 species
CAGGCUUAACACAUGCAAGUCGAGGGGCAUCAGGAAGAAAGCUUGCUUUCUUUGCUGGCGACCGGCGCACGGGUGAGUAACACGUAUCCAACCUGCCCUUUACUCGGGGAUAGCCUUUCGAAAGAAAGAUUAAUACCCGAUAGUAUAAUGAUUCCGCAUGGUUUCAUUAUUAAAGGAUUCCGGUAAAGGAUGGGGAUGCGUUCCAUUAGGUUGUUGGUGAGGUAACGGCCCACCAAGCCUUCGAUGGAUAGGGGUUCUGAGAGGAAGGUCCCCCACAUUGGAACUGAGACACGGUCCAAACUCCUACGGGAGGCAGCAGUGAGGAAUAUUGGUCAAUGGGCGCUAGCCUGAACCAGCCAAGUAGCGUGAAGGAUGAAGGCUCUAUGGGUCGUAAACUUCUUUUAUAUAAGAAUAAAAUGCAGUAUGUAUACUGUUUUGUAUGUAUUAUAUGAAUAAGGAUCGGCUAACUCCGUGCCAGCAGCCGCGGUAAUACGGAGGAUCCGAGCGUUAUCCGGAUUUAUUGGGUUUAAAGGGAGCGUAGGUGGACUGGUAAGUCAGUUGUGAAAGUUUGCGGCUCAACCGUAAAAUUGCAGUUGAUACUGUCAGUCUUGAGUACAGUAGAGGUGGGCGGAAUUCGUGGUGUAGCGGUGAAAUGCUUAGAUAUCACGAAGAACUCCGAUUGCGAAGGCAGCUCACUGGACUGCAACUGACACUGAUGCUCGAAAGUGUGGGUAUCAAACAGGAUUAGAUACCCUGGUAGUCCACACAGUAAACGAUGAAUACUCGCUGUUUGCGAUAUACAGUAAGCGGCCAAGCGAAAGCAUUAAGUAUUCCACCUGGGGAGUACGCCGGCAACGGUGAAACUCAAAGGAAUUGACGGGGGCCCGCACAAGCGGAGGAACAUGUGGUUUAAUUCGAUGAUACGCGAGGAACCUUACCCGGGCUUAAAUUGCAGUGGAAUGAUGUGGAAACAUGUCAGUGAGCAAUCACCGCUGUGAAGGUGCUGCAUGGUUGUCGUCAGCUCGUGCCGUGAGGUGUCGGCUUAAGUGCCAUAACGAGCGCAACCCUUAUCUUUAGUUACUAACAGGUUAUGCUGAGGACUCUAGAGAGACUGCCGUCGUAAGAUGUGAGGAAGGUGGGGAUGACGUCAAAUCAGCACGGCCCUUACGUCCGGGGCUACACACGUGUUACAAUGGGGGGUACAGAAGGCAGCUAGCGGGUGACCGUAUGCUAAUCCCAAAAGCCUCUCUCAGUUCGGAUCGAAGUCUGCAACCCGACUUCGUGAAGCUGGAUUCGCUAGUAAUCGCGCAUCAGCCACGGCGCGGUGAAUACGUUCCCGGGCCUUGUACACACCGCCCGUCAAGCCAUGGGAGCCGGGGGUACCUGAAGUACGUAACCGCAAGGAUCGUCCUAGGGUAAAACUGGUGACUGGGGCUAAGUC